AACGUAGGAGACAAACGUUAUCCGGAGUUACUGGGCGUAAAGGGCGUGUAGGUGGUUUCGUAAGUCUGGCGUGAAAUUUCUCGGCUUAACCGAGGCAGGUCGUCGGAUACUGCGGAACUAGAGGACGGUAGAGGCGUGUGGAAUUCCCGGUGUAGCGGUGAAAUGCGUAGAGAUCGGGAGGAACACCAGCGGCGAAGGCGGCAAACUGGAUAGGCACUGACACUCAACAACGAAAGCGUGGGGAGCAAACAGG
rnacentral:rRNA from 1 species